CCUGCCCUUGUGUCCUCCUCUGCCAGUACUCUCCAUGGUGCUGAAGGUGACAUGCGCCGUGUUGUGAGGGGCCAUGCUUCCUUCUUGCCCCCACAACACAGAGAUACAUAUAGCAAAUUACUGUUUGUUAAGAAGCGAUAGGAAUCGUAAAGGUGCACUGUAAAAAAAUUCCGUAAAAAUACAGUACAAUAUACCGUAAUAAUUUGAAGGAAUUUUCCAUAUUUGGUUUUUACAGGUGUUUUUCCGUAUUUUUUUAAUGACGCUUUGCAUUGUGGGAACAAGAAGCUCAGUCGAUUAUCGGCGCGAAAACAGCGCUAGAGCAGACGCCAUUAUUCACAGAGAUAGUCUCGGUAAAAAAUGUCAUUUUAAAGUCGGAUUUGAGAAAUGUAACAAACUGUAACGUUAACUUAGUUGCAUGCUGUCUUCCUUGUUUGCAAUGAAUGUCGGAGGCUCGGAGCCGUCGCAUUUGACAUCUUCAGCACACCGUCACAUCUCACUCGACGUGGAGAGCGCUGUGUGCCUCCAACAGAAGCUGGCAGAGCAAUUGUCAAGAAAAGAAGAUCCCAUUACGACUUUUUUUUAUUCUUUAAAAGAGAUUAUACAACUAGGUGAAGAUCUGACAUCGCGGAAUUCUUCAAGGAUAACGCAACUUUUCUGCCAAACGAGGUUGUAAUUGCUGCUGUAUUGUGCAUCCCAAGUACUCCCUGCAUUCUUAUCAAGGCGCACUAGAGGGCGCUCAAGAUUCCUCCCGUGUGUAUGUUUUGUUAUCAAUGAAGAAAAGGAGUUUUUCCAGAGUUCUCAGUAAAUAAGAAAUUGCUGUCAUUCAAUAACUUAUCAUUUCCUCCCCCGUUGUGGCUGAGCUACACAUUCUCUUCAUUUUAUUUUAAACAUAAACAUCCAGAGGAGACGGCACCUACGUUGGCAUUCAUACAAAUUCUUCCUGUGAAGAAAUCCUGAACGAGGGUCGACGGUUCAGAUGAAGGGAACCUACGCUUCCAAGACUCAUGUAUGAACAACUUCGAGAAUCCAUGUACAAUUUGAGCUUUUUUCAGAUCUCAACAUGGAACUUGGACUGAACAUGCAGCAGAAGGAAAAAAAAAACAAAAGUAGUAGUUUCCCCAAGCUGGCACAUGGCAAGAGAUACUAAAAGCACACAAACACUUGGAGCCCUGCUCUUAAUUUAGAUUGUAUAGUUCUCUUAGUUUCACAUUGAAAUGUCAGGCAUGAGUGCAUGAAUCUUUGUUCUUUAUUUUCUAAUGAUGUACAAGAGAGGUUUUUUUUUGCAGUACCAGACAGAAUUCAAAUUUUUUGAUGUGAACUGUCCUUUUAAAUAACAUUUCACUUAACUAUUGACUAGAAGUCUGUAGCAAUUGUUAUUAAUGACAGCCCUGGCUUUGUAUAAAUUUUUUCCCAUGUAUCUGAAAAUGUUUUGAAUCUUGACUGUUUCACAGUGAAGUUUAUCUUUGU